GGGCUGGGGCUCAGUGGUAGAGCACUUGCCUAGCAUGUGUGAGGCCCUGGGUUCGAUCCUCAGCACCACA
rnacentral:tRNA from 1 species